CCUACGGGGUGCAGCAGUGAGGAAUAUUGGUCAAUGGCCGAGAGGCUGAACCAGCCAAGUCGCGUGAGGGAAGAAUGUCCUAUGGAUUGUAAACCUCUUUUGUCCGGGAGCAAAGUCAGCCACGUGUGGGUGUUGGAGAGUACCUGAAGAAAAAGCAUCGGCUAACUCCGUGCCAGCAGCCGCGGUAAUACGGAGGAUACGAGCGUUAUCCGGAUUUAUUGGGUUUAAAGGGUGCGUAGGCGGUGUAUCAAGUCAGCGGUAAAAUCGCGGGGCUCAAAUCCGUACUGCCGUUGAAACUGAUGAUCUUGAGUGGGCGAGAAGUAUGCGGAAUGCGUGGUGUAGCGGUGAAAUGCAUAGAUAUCACGCAGAACUCCGAUUGCGAAGGCAGCAUACCGGCGCCCGACUGACGCUGAAGCACGAAAGCGUGAGUAUCGAACAGGAUUAGAUACCCGUGUAGUC
rnacentral:rRNA from 1 species